rnacentral:rRNA from 1 species
GGGAUAACACUUAGAAAUAGGUGCUAAUACCGCAUAAGCGCACGGUUCCGCAUGGAACAGUGUGAAAAACUCCGGUGGUAUACGAUGGAUCCGCGUCUGAUUAGCCAGUUGGCGGGGUAACGGCCCACCAAAGCGACGAUCAGUAGCCGGCCUGAGAGGGUGAACGGCCACAUUGGGACUGAGACACGGCCCAAACUCCUACGGGAGGCAGCAGUGGGGAAUAUUGCACAAUGGGGGAAACCCUGAUGCAGCGACGCCGCGUGAGUGAAGAAGUAUCUCGGUACGUAAAGCUCUAUCAGCAGGGAAGAAAAUGACGGUACCUGACUAAGAAGCCCCGGCUAACUACGUGCCAGCAGCCGCGGUAAUACGUAGGGGGCAAGCGUUAUCCGGAUUUACUGGGUGUAAAGGGAGCGUAGACGGCAGCGCAAGUCUGGAGUGAAAUGCCGGGGCCCAACCCCGGAACUGCUUUGGAAACUGUGCAGCUCGAGUGCAGGAGAGGUAAGCGGAAUUCCUAGUGUAGCGGUGAAAUGCGUAGAUAUUAGGAGGAACACCAGUGGCGAAGGCGGCUUACUGGACUGUAACUGACGUUGAGGCUCGAAAGCGUGGGGAGCAAACAGGAUUAGAUACCCUGGUAGUCCACGCCGUGAACGAUGAUUACUAGGUGUCGGGGGGCCAAGGCCCUCCGGUGCCGCCG